UGGACUGCGGUUCUAUCCUCUGUUAAUCUUCCCAUCUCAAGUAUGUCCUACGUGUGAAGGUUUUACCACUUACAGAGGGACAGAUUAACAGCUGUUAUCCCUCUUCAACCAAAGGGACCUGUAUUUGAGAUGUAGUUGCCCUCUGCUUUGAAGCAAAGCGCAGGUCAGAGCCAAUGGGAGCCUUUAAUAAUGUGGCCGUCUCAUCUGGCGCUGAAGGCAGAAAGUUUUCUUGCUAAUUGGAUUGUUGUGAGAUUAUCUGAGGAGGAACAAGCUCCUCUGGACAGAGGAGGGCUGGGAGCACACAGAGUCGUGGAGAAGGAGCAGUAAAAAAAGAACAGGAAGCAAUAAAAAAAAAAAAGAACAAGCACUGUACUCACACAAGCUCUAGCGUAAGACUGGUCUGCUAGGUAGAGGAGGGCACAGCAACAGUCAACCCCAUGCCGAGGACACCGCAUCCAUACUGACCAUCAGCAGGCAGUGGCUGUUCUUCUGGAAGGAAGCAGUGAAGCUCAGAGCCAAAUAAAAUGUGCCCAGAUUCACACAGAUGUACAGCCAGGACCAACAUGCAGCAUCAGAGAAGGCAACUGAAGAAGGUCUCUUCAUAAGGACCAUCAAGUCCGACUCUUGGCUCCAUACAGAACCACUCAGAAGUCGGACCUUAUGUCUGAGUACAUUGACCAGACCAGACGCUCCUUGAACUCCAGCAGCUCGGGGCCGUGCCACUGCCCUAGGCAGCCUGUUCCAUGCCCACCACCCUCUGGUGAAGAACCUCAUCCUAACCUCCAACCUGACCUUCCCCUGGCACAGCUCCAUGCUGUUCCCUCAGGCCCUGUCGCUGUCACAGAGAGCAAAGCUCAGCGUUUCCCAUCCUUUCCUCAAAUGGAGACCAAAAUAGAACAACUGGUCACGGGUAGCAGAGCGUGUGCUACAGAGGGCUCAAGCUCAUCAGUCUGUCUCCAUUUCAUGCAUUUUUCAUGCAUCACCUCUUACUUCUGAGCUAUUCAUUUUAUCUUUGUUUUCACCUUCAUCUAAUGAGCCUUUUCUGUGCUUUUGAUCAGAGAUGGUUCUGUGAAGACUUUUGUAAGGCUCUUCUCUCCCAUCCUCUUCAUCUUCCUCAACUCCUCCUUCUCUUCUGCCCUCCUUAGUUGUUCGUUUCCCAUCACAGGUAAAAAUCUUUGAGAGACAAUCAUCAGCCCUGCUAAGUGAGUCAGGAUAGUGAAUGGGAGGAAAUAAGGGCAUAUCCUGUGGUGCCAAAUAGCAGCAGCUAUAGAAAUGGCACCAAAAGCACCCUUUCUCUCUCUCUUCUGGAAGAACUGGGAUGGUGCCAUCCAGAGGAGAGCCCUGGGGGCUUGCUGAAUGAACCCUUCCUCCCAGCAUCGUACACCAGCAGAGAAAAGCAUGGGCUCACUGCCAGCUGUGCCAUUAUCUGCCUGAACACUGGGCCAGGAGCAGCUAGGGAGAUGGGUCCUGAAUGGGGACUGAACAUCAUGAUUUCUCCCUACGCCUACUCUUUUCUGCAAGGCCAAUACAGUCACUGUCAGGUGGAGAAAAACAGAUUGGUCCUGCUGCGUCAGCCCAUCGUAUCAGUCUCCAUCUCCAGCUGCAGCCAGCAUCGGGAGCUGCAGAAGGGACAGAUGGCUCCAGAUAGUGACACCUCUGCUCCACGAGUGUGCACUGCCCAAAUGCUGAUGCUGGCGAGUGCACCAAGCAGGCAGGCAUAGCCCCUGGUAGUCAUGGUGGUUCUUGCAGCCACAGCCUGCAAUGCUCUGAGACUGCAUUAGCCACAUGAAAAGUUCAGCUUGGAUUUCUUCAUACAUGGGAGGAGUAGGAGGAACAAAUGCCUCUGGAGCAUAUUUCAUUGUAUGUCUGACUUUUACAUCAGUAAAUAGCUACAAGCUCUAAGAAAGGUUGAUGGUCUCUGAUUAACCAGAGAAAACUGCUGAGAUGGGGAACUUUUUCUCUUCUUGUGGCCAUAGCUUUAACAC
ensembl:lncRNA